CCAGUCCAGGGUCCACCAGCCCAGGGUCCCAGCACCAGGUCUCUGGUUCAGCUGCACAGUGAGCUACAAAGCCUCCGGGGGGACCUGGAUCACAUGAAGAGCCAGCAUAACAAGGAGAUAAAACUGUUGAUGAAUGAACUAGACGAAGAGAAGAGGGUUCGCUUGACAUUACAGAUGGAGGUACAGCGCAUGAAGAAACAAAUGUCAAAAUUACUGGAUCGUAAAUAACCUCAGUUAGGUCUCCUGAACCAGAAAUACUUUGCAUCGAAGUAACUGGGUAAGAGAGAUACAUUGUCCUGAACUGCUUGGAAAUAUACGUUGGAGAUGUAUUCUUGUUUAAUAAAUAUCUGUAAAAAUUUAUAUAAAUUAUAUUAUCCGAGCAAUAUAGAACUAUAAUUUAUGAAAAUUCAUAGGUUGGCUGCUUUUAUUAGCUAGAAAAAUGUGCCGAUAAUUGUGAAUGAACCUCAAAUAUCCCCAAUGGCAAGAUAGAUCAUGGAUGGAUUAGCAGAUCUUCAAUGAUGGAUUAAAAUCCAUCAUCCGGGCUCAAUAUAUUUGAUUAUCUACGUUUUUUUAAAGGUCCCAUGGCAUGAACAUUUCACUUUAGGAGGUUUUCCAACAUUAAUAUGAGUUUCCCUAGCCUGCCUAUGGUCCCCCAGUAGCUACAAAUGGCGUUAGGUAUAAAACGAGCACUAGCUAUCCUGCUCUGCCUUUGAAAUAACAAUGCGCUGACGCUCCGAUUUGGAUUCCACGUAUGUCGUCAUACGGCAUAUGCAGAAUCGGCACAUGUUACCUCCCCUUUCUCUGCUUUGCCCUAUGAGCUAUGACCGUGUGAGUGCCACAUGUGUGUCCGUGAAUACACACACUGUAACACAAAUGCUGUACACUUUGUUAUUUGGAUAACCGUUCUGCUGUUGGUGUUGUGGCGCAUAACACGUCGGGUUCUCUGACGUCUCUGGGAUUUCCAUAACGAGGCUCGUAGCCUGGGUUAUUUCAGCCAUGGUUGAGAAGGAAUUGUAGUACAUGAGUACAUGAACCGCGACACGGAGGAGAAAGGGAUUGUUGCCCGCGAUUGUUCCCCGCCGGAGCCCCGCUGCCCACUGUCAAGAAGCAUCACGGUGGGGCCACAGCGCUGCCCACUGCCCGCUGCCGAGGUGCCAUCGCCGUGAGGCACCACCGCCGUGGGAUGGUGGUGCCUCGGCACUGCCCGCUGCCGAGGCACAAUGUAUCGCCAUUGCGAUACAUCCACUGUAAACAAGAGCACAUGGUACCGUGGCCGCAAGCUGCUCAGGGCCACACCCCCACCCUCCACCUUUACCUGCCUUAAAAAACGGCACGGUUGUGGAAAGCUCAUUAUGGGACUGGCUCGUAGUGGCUUUAAUUCUGCAUCAUACAACUUAAAAUGUAAUGUACUGUAUUAAGGGCCCACUAACACCUAUAUAUAAGAAUCCAGAAAGUAGCAUGCCAUGGGACCUUUAAAACAAUGGCCAUGGAAUAUGCGAAGUUAUAAUUGUACUCAAUUAAAAUUAUAGUUUUGUAAGAUACAAAAAUUCCUU